GAAGUGGGUAGUUUAACCUUCGGGAGGACGCUCACCACUUUGUGGUUCAUGACUGGGGUGAAGUCGUAACAAGGUAGCCCUAGGGGAACCUGGGGCUGGAUCACCUCCUUAUACGAUGAU
rnacentral:rRNA from 1 species